GUGUGUGUGUGUGGAUCGUACAUCAGGAGCAAGAACAACUCAAACCCUAGUUCACCCAAAAUCAACAAAUUGAAGGUCAAAUCUAGCCCAAAUCAAAUGCAUGAACACAAAUUCGUGAUCUCCUAAGCUUGGGGAUCAUAAGUUUGACGCCUAACGAGCUAGAUGGAAGCUUGUGGAUGAAGCGGGUCAAACGGAGCAAGUACGGAAAGAAAAGCAUGGCAUGGAUGCAAGAUAAGUAAAACUUACACCCUUUUUUGUAGAAUGCCUAAUUAAUUACAAGGGUUAUGAAUAUGAUAAGUUAAUGAUUAAAUGUGAUGUUCUGACGAAAUUUGAUACGGGUCGGAACAAGUGAAGGUGAUGAAAACCAUGAUGGUUAAAAAAAAAGAAGGGGCAAAAUAGCAAAUUAGUCACGUGUUGGCAACUGUAAGUAAAUCUUAAAAUAGAAUUACAACAUAAAGUAUGUUUGGUAAUUUUAAUAGAUUUUUCUAAAGUCAUUCGACAAGGUUUUCGCGGAUAUUUUGUCAAUAAAUUAUUUGUUGACAGUAACAGCUCCGCUACUUGUAGACAUUAUUUCGAGGUCAUAACCAUCGAAUUUUGACACGAUAUUUGACCAGAAGUUGGUUUACAACAUUAAGGAUGUUUAGUAAUUUUUAUAGAUUUUUAUAAAGUUGUAUGACGAGGUUUUCGCGGAUGUUUUGUCAAUAAAUUAGUUGUUGACAGCAACAGUUCCGCUACUUGCAGACAUUAUUUCGAGGUCUUAAACAUCGAAUUUUGACACGAUAUUUGAUCAGAAGUUGGUUUACAACAUAAAGGAUGUUUAGUAAUUUUUAUAGAUUUUUGUAAAGUUGUUUGACGAGGUUUUCGCGGAUGUUUUGUCAAUAAAUUAGUUGUUGACAGCAACAGUUCCGCUACUUGCAGACAUUAUUUCGAGGUCUUAACCAUCGAAUUUUGACACGAUAUUUGACCAGAAGUUGGUUUACAACAUUAAGGAUGUUUAGUAAUUUUUAUAGAUUUUUGUAAAGUUGUUUGUCGAGGUUUUCGCGGAUGUUUUGUCAAUAAAUUAGUUGUUGACAGCAACAGUUCCGCUACUUGCAGACAUUAUUUCGAGGUCUUAACCAUCGAAUUUUGACACGAUAUUUGACCAGAAGUUGGUUUACAACAUUAAGGAUGUUUAGUAAUUUUUAUAGAUUUUUAUAAAGUUGUAUGACGAGGUUUUCGCGUAUUUUUUGUCAAUAAAUUAGUUGUUGACAGCAACAAUUCCGCUACUUGCAGACAUUAUUUCGAAGUCUGAAACAUCGAAUUUUGACACGAUAUUUGAUCAGAAGUUGGUUUACAACAUAAAGGAUGUUUAGUAAUUUUUAUAGAUUUUUGUAAAGUUGUUUGACGAGGUUUUCGCGGAUGUUUUGUCAAUAAAUUAGUUGUUGACAGCAACAGUUCCGUUACUUGCAGAAAUUAUUUCGAUGUCUUAACUAUCGAGUUUUGACAUGAUAUUUGGCCAGAAGUUGUUUAGCAACAUAAAUAAUGUUUGGUGAAUGUCGGGAGUACCGGAUGAAGGUCAAGCGAAGUGCAAGAACCGAACACAUGGAAAAGAAGCUUCCGCACGUUGCCUCGUCGUUAUUUUGAAACGACGAACUCAAUUACAUCAUGUAGGAUUAUUUUUGUAAAUUGUAAAAGUUUUAAUUCAACCGUAUUUUUAAUAUAUAUGUAAUCAUAAUUACCUGUUUAUU
rnacentral:lncRNA from 1 species